UUCCCCUGUUUUUGUUCUUCUUUUAGUUCACGAUUUUUCCCUUUUUCUUCCCUCUGUUUGCAAAACUCAAAUCAUGCACUUUGGUUUAGUCUUCAGAUUAGGAACUUUGAUGCUCGUGGUUGCUAGCCGUCUGGUUUGCGAUCUACACUUCCCCUUUGGUCUUUGUCUUAUGUUCAAGCUUUGACGGUACAGUCAGAACUUUACUGCACUUGUGGGUUGGUGCCCGUCGCCGGGCGAGCAUCGCUG
rnacentral:lncRNA from 1 species